rnacentral:rRNA from 1 species
UUAACCAGCCAUAUCACCCUGUAGCCCAAGACUGGUUACCCAAUGAAGCUAAGCAGGGCUGAGCCUGGUCAGUACCUGGAUGGGAGACCUCCUGGGAAAACGUCUCAGAGGUACUGGGCCAA